UUAACAAAUUUUGCUUUUCGCUCAGACUGCAAACUUCAGACAGCGUUCAAGGGUGUCUUCGGCAGGCGCGGGCCCGGGGGCAGAGGCCCCCCGGCGGCCGUGAGGCGGGCCCGCCGAAGCAACAAGGUUCGUUAAACACGGGUGGGAGGUUGGACCCCGAGGGGCCCUCACUCAGUAAUGAUCCUUCCGCAGGUUCACCUACGGAAA
rnacentral:misc_RNA from 1 species